rnacentral:lncRNA from 1 species
GGACAGUAAAAGUAAAAGGGAUAGGAUUAUUCCUCUUCCGCUGCUGUCCUCUUCCCUUAAUAAUCACGAGGGAUCGGUGUCUUUCAUGGGAGCAGAGGAAAGUGAAACUUCUGUGACUUCAAGGAGUGGACACAGGUAUUAUGCAUGCAGUGUUUAAAGGAAACUCAACAGCUGGGUGGUUUCUUUAAAGUUCGUGCCACAUCCUGUAGGAUGUUAGAAUGAGCUGCUUAGAACACCAAGAUGGGAAGUUGGUCCUGCCCUGAAAAGCUGGCAAGUUAUAUCUACCAGUAAAAAUGUUUUUAGACCACAGAGCACAGGGCAGCCUCCAGGGAAGCCAGCAUGCCUCAAACCACUGGAGGACUCUACCACUGCAGGCAGCCUCUGUGGAAGAUGAGGAGAGAUUCCAGGAGCAAAUUAUGGCAUCUCCCUUUGGGUACACUCAGAUGCAGACGGAGAACCCAGGCUAUGCUCAUCACGAUGGUACCUGCUUAGUGUUAUGUCUGGACAUCAUGCAACAACGUGAAAGAGUUCUCUCCGCUCUUUGCUGAAGGGGAACAGAGUCCAGUUCCAUCCUUGAUUUGCAGUUCAGAUUCCCACAUUGUUAUUGCUGGGUUGCUAUUUAUCACAUUAAAUUAUACCGUAGAUGUCUGAUGCCAGACUUAAGUGCAGAGAUAUAAAUGGUAUUUGAUAUUUUUCUGAACUAAAGAUUAUUUUGGCACUUAAAUGCUGUUAGACAUUUACUAUCAUGCUUUACAGCUUCAAAACAUAUGACAUAAUAUUUCUUAACAUUUUAACUAUCCUAAAAAUCUGUAACUAAGCACUUGAUUUAGAUUCAGUAAGUUACUGUAUGUUAAAUAAAUGCUAACUCAAGAGAAAACA